AUUGAACGCUGGUGGCAUGCCUUACACAUGCAAGUCGAACGGCAGCACGGGAGCAAUCCUGGUGGCGAGUGGCGAACGGGUGAGUAAAGUAUCGGAACGUGCCCAGUCGUGGGGGAUAACGUAGCGAAAGUUACGCUAAUACCGCAUACGAUCUAUGGAUGAAAGCGGGGGAUCGCAAGACCUCGCGCGAUUUGAGCGGCCGAUAUCCGAUUAGGUAGUUGGUGGGGUAAAGGCUCACCAAGCCGACGAUCUGUAGCUGGUCUGAGAGGACGACCAGCCACACUGGGACUGAGACACGGCCCAGACUCCUACGGGAGGCAGCAGUGGGGAAUUUUGGACAAUGGGCGAAAGCCUGAUCCAGCCAUGCCGCGUGCAGGAUGAAGGCCUUCGGGUUGUAAACUGCUUUUGUACGGAACGAAAAGGUUUGGCCUAAUAAGCUGAGCUCAUGACGGUACCGUAAGAAUAAGCACCGGCUAACUACGUGCCAGCAGCCGCCGUAA
rnacentral:rRNA from 1 species